GUGAGUUGAUCAAUAAAGUAAACAAGGCUCGAGACAAGCCUUUGGCUAUCAAAUUGUACGUUUGUGUUGCCGGCUAGAAUCGAUCAAGCUGAUCGAUAGCUACCUAGCUUUGGCUAUUUAUACCAACUAGCACUAGUACGUGCCUUGACAAGGGAUAAGGGUGCUAGUUUGUAUGUGCAUAUUUGGUGGCGAGUUUGCUACGGUGCGUUGUCUCAGCAAGCUUCGUUCAUCGUCGUCGUUCGUCGUCGGUCGCCGCCUGUCGUCGGAAAGUACUCGGCGUGGGGACUGGGCCAACAGCAGGUGGGGGACAUCCAGCAAGCAGGCCAUGGCGGUGGCCAGAUCCGCCCACCGGACCAGCCUCGUGAGGAGACGGACGGCAUGGAGCUGGUCGUCAAGGUCCGACCUUGGCAGGCACCAAGGUGCACGUACGCCAUGGAGCUGCUUCUCCAUCCAGCUCCGACACACACGCCGCAACCGCGGUAACCAUCAAGGGUUGUGAACCUGUGAUGCAUCGGUGGACGAAUCUGGUUUACGAGAAAGAGAUAUAUGCGAGCGCUUUGUUUUCUUCUUUCAGGGUGCCUCCUACAAAUACAACUACAUGCUCAGGUCAGGUAUAUAUGUUUGUUUCUUUGUCCACCGGUUAGACUAAAACUUAUUUUGGUAGGGUAAUAUAAUAUUUUGUGGUAACUGUCCAUGCGUUGAGAAAAAAAAUGGAUGGAGUGAGUUGAGUUGCAAUUCCUACAAAGUAAAUAAUAGAAAUUCUAAUAAAGCAUUGGUUCAACUAAAACAUUCACAAUUCCUUUUGGGAUUCUUCGGAUCCAAAUUCUAACCAGUCCAUUUGGUUAACACAAAUGGAUUACUGAAAUGAAUAUGCAAAAAAAUCAGAGAUGAUGACCUUGGGAUUGACAAUACAUUGUCAUCAAAUCGACCUUUUGGGAUUGACAAUUCAUAUUAGUUCCCUGCUUAUGCUACAGAUUAAAGUACUUGUUGGGGAACAUAGUAAUUUCAAAAAAUUUCCUACGCACACGCAAGAUCAUGGUGAUGCAUAGCAACGAGAGAGGAGAGUGUUGUCCACGUACCCUCGUAGACCGAAAG